AACGUAGGAGACGAACGUUAUCCGGAGUUACUGGGCGUAAAGGGCGUGUAGGCGGUUUGUUAAGUCUGGCGUGAAAGCUCUCGGCUAAACCGGGAGAGGUCGUUGGAUACUGGCGAACUAGAGUAUGGGAGAGGGUAGUGGAAUUCCCGGUGUAGCGGUGAAAUGCGUAGAUAUCGGGAGGAACAUCAGUGGCGAAGGCGGCUACCUGGCCCAAUACUGACACUCAGGUGCGACAGCGUGGGGAGCAAACAGG
rnacentral:rRNA from 1 species